rnacentral:rRNA from 1 species
AGGGACGAUCGGUAGCUGGUCUGAGAGGAUGAUCAGCCWCAAUGGGACUGAGACACGGCCCAUACUCYUACGGGAGGCAGCAGUGGGGAAUUUUACGCAAUGGGCGAAAGCCUGAYGUAGCGACACCGCGUGAGCGAAGAAGCCCCUUGKGGUGUAAAGCUCUGUCAGCUGGAACGAAAAAAAUGACGGUACCMGCAGAGGAAGCAUCGGCUAACUACGUKCCAGCAGCCGCGGUAAGACGUAGGAUGCAAGCGUUGUCCGGAUUUAUUGGGCGUAAAGAGUUCGUAGGUGGUUUGUUAAGUUUGGUGUUAAAGAUUGGGGCUCAACCCUGAAACUGCACUGAAUACUGGCAGACUCGAGUGUGGUAGAGGCUAGUGGAAUUCCCAGUGUAGCGGUGAAAUGCGUAGAUAUUGGGAAGAACACCGGUGGCGUAGGMGACUAGCUGGKCCAUAACUGACACUGAGGAACGAAASCCAUAGGUACGAAUGGGAUUAGAUWCCCCAGUAGUCCUKRCSKWWAACGAUSGAUACUAUGGCGCGUCGSGGUGCACGCCGGGUCCAGC